UAGAGUUUCCUCUGAAUAACCUGCCGUUGUACCAAGCGACGAAACUCCAUUAAACGAAAGGAGACAAAAAAGAAACUGCGGCGAUGAAAUUCCAUUAGACAAAAGAAGGAGAAGCGACGAAACUAAUUGCUCGUAUUUUUGACAAUGGAACCAGCUUGCUACAAGAAUAUCUUCUGGAAACUGGAUGUUAAUGAAAAAUCAGGACAUCCCUGCUGGUUCAGUAGACUGUGGAGUAGACAUGUUGAUGGUAUUUGAAUAUUAACUGCUGUUGUAUCUGAAAAGGUGUCAUCCAAAUGGUUUAAAAAUGAUGAAGAUCCUAAAGGUCACCGGGUAAUGACCUCUAUACAGUAGAAGAUGAGAAGCUGACAGAUGGCCUCUACAACUACCUGAUGAAGUGCUCUCAAGAGCUUUAUGCACUUUUGUGAAGAUUGACAGAGUUCACAUCAUUCUGGAUGUGCUGAUUUGGCUUUAGUGAGUCUCUAAUGAGUACAGAAAGUGUCUAUAUGAGUAACGUCCUCUCUGUCUCUUUUUUUGUGAUUGGCUCUUAUUAAAGCUCGAGGAACAGUUGAGAUGAUUUCUCUAGCAGAGGCAGAAGGUCUGUUCAUUGAUGGACCAGCAGACGGUGAGUGGGACGUCAUGU